GACAAUCGCGAGCAUGGCUCGAGGAAAGUCCGAGCUCCGCAGGGCAGAGUGCCGGAUAACGUCCGGCGAGGGUGACCUCAGGGACAGUGCCACAGAAAUGCAAACCGCCGGCAACGGUAAGGGUGGAACGGUGCGGUAAGAGCGCACCGGCGAUGGGGUAACUCAUCGGCCAGGUAAACCCCACUCGGAGCAAGACCGAAUAGAAAAGGGAGGAAGUUGCCCGCUGACCUUUUGGGUGUGUCGCUUGAACGGCAAGGCGACUUGUCGUCUAGAUAGAUGAUUGUCACCGUGUAAACGGAACAGAACUCGGCUUAUUGAUCA
rnacentral:RNase_P_RNA from 1 species